rnacentral:rRNA from 1 species
AACAAACGCUGGCGGCGUGCCUAACACAUGCAAGUCGAACGAGAAAGUCGGUUUCGGCCGAUGAGUAAAGUGGCGCACGGGUGAGUAACGCGUGGAUAAUCUACCCUUUAGUCCGGAAUAACUUGCCGAAAGGUGAACUAAUACCGGAUGACAUCCCGGGUUCUCCGGAAACCGGGAUCAAAGAAGGCCUCUGCUUGCAAGCUUUUGCUGAAGGAUGAGUCCGCGUACCAUUAGCUAGUUGGUGGGGUAAUGGCCUACCAAGGUUAUGAUGGUUAGCUGGUCUGAGAGGAUGAUCAGCCACACUGGAACUGAAACACGGUCCAGACUCCUACGGGAGGCAGCAGUGAGGAAUAUUGCGCAAUGGGGGCAACCCUGACGCAGCAACGCCGCGUGAGUGAGGAAGGUUUUCGGAUUGUAAAGCUCUGUCGAGCGGAAAGAAAUGCACGAUGGCUAAUAUCCAUCAUGCUUGACGGUACCGCUAGAGGAAGCACCGGCUAAC